rnacentral:misc_RNA from 1 species
GAUGAAGAACGUAGCGAAAUGCGAUACUUGGUGUGAAUUGCAGAAUCCCGUGAACCAUCGAGUCUUUGAACGCAAGUUGCGCCUCAAGCCAUUAGGUUGAGGGCACGUCUGCCUGGGCGUCACAUAUCGUUGCCUGAUGCCAGUUUCCUCGUGAUGGGUGACUGUGCAGGGCGAAUGAUGGCUUGCCGUGAGCAUUGUUGCCUCAUGGUUGGUUGAAAAUUGAGUCCUUGGUAGGGAGCGCCGUGAUAGAUGGUGGUUGAGUGACGAACGAGACCCAAUCAUGUGAGACCCCUACCGAAUUUGGCCUUCAUGACCCACAUGCGUCUUUGGAACGCUCAUGACGAGACCUCAGGUCAGGCGGGGCUACCCGCUGAGUUUAAGCAUAUCAAUAAGCGGAGGA